rnacentral:lncRNA from 1 species
CAUUACUUUGAUUAAGCGAUGAGGCCUAGUGAUGCGGUAGCCCAAAUAUAGAUUUGAGAAAACCAAAACGAAUUCAGCAUUAACAAGUUAAAGGGUUGUUUUGGUAGAGAUCAGUGGCCAAAUCUGGAUGUGAAAGAGGAG